AUUGAACGCUGGCGGCAUGCCUUACACAUGCAAGUCGAACGGUAACAGGUCUUCGGAUGCUGACGAGUGGCGAACGGGUGAGUAAUACAUCGGAACGUGCCUAGUAGUGGGGGAUAACUACUCGAAAGAGUGGCUAAUACCGCAUGAGAUCUACGGAUGAAAGCAGGGGAUCGCAAGACCUUGUGCUACUAGAGCGGCCGAUGGCAGAGUAGGUAGUUGGUGGGAUAAAAGCUUACCAAGCCGACGAUCUGUAGCUGGUCUGAGAGGACGAUCAGCCACACGGGGAGUGAGACACGGACCAGACUCCUACGGGAGGCAGCAGUGGGGAAUUUUGGACAAUGGGCGCAAGCCUGAUCCAGCAAUGCCGCGUGCAGGAUGGAGGCCUUCGGGUUGUAAACUGCUUUUGUACGGAACGAAAAGCCCUGGGUUAAUACCCUGGGGUCAUGACGGUACCGUAAGAAUAAGCACCGGCUAACUACGUGCCAGCCGCCGCAGUAAGAC
rnacentral:rRNA from 1 species